rnacentral:rRNA from 1 species
GACGAACGCUGGCGGCGUGCUUAACACAUGCAAGUCGAACGGAAAUGCUCUGCUUUUGUGUGGUGCUCGAGUGGCGAACGGGUGAGUAACACGUAAGUAACCUGCCCUUGACUUUGGGAUAACUUCAGGAAACUGGUGCUAAUACCGGAUAGGAGCUCCUGCUGCAUGGUGGUGGUUGGAAAGUUUCGGCGGUUGGGGAUGGACGCGCGGGUUAUCAGCUUGUUGGUGGGGUAGUGGCUUACCAAGGCUUUGACGGGUAGCCGGCCUGAGAGGGUGACCGGCCACAUUGGGACUGAGAUACGGCGCAGACUCCUACGGGAGGCAGCAGUGGGGAGUAUUGCACAAUGGGCGGAAGCCUGAUGCAGCAACGCCGCGUGCGGGAUGACGGCCUGCGGGUUGUAAACCGCUUUCGCAUGUGACGAAGAGUGAGUGACGGUAAUGGGUAAAGAAGCACCGGCUAACUACGUG